AAGGCGAGAACCACCCCCGGACCAACCAAAGCCCGCGCGCGCUGCAUCCCACGUCGAGCACCUACGUCCCACCGCCGUCGCCACCAUGCCCAAGAGAAAGGCUGAAGGGGAUGCUAAAGGAGAUAAAGCCAAGGUGAAGGACGAACCACAGAGAAGAUCCGCGAGGUUGUCUGCUAAACUUGCUCCUCCAAAGCCAGAGCCCAAGCCUAAAAAGGCCCCUGCAAAGAAGGGAGAGAAGGUACCCAAAGGGAAAAAGGGAAAAGCUGAUGCUGGCAAGGAGGGGAAUAACCCUGCAGAAAACGGAGAUGCCAAAACAGACCAGGCACAGAAAGCUGAAGGUGCUGGAGAUGCCAAGUGAAGCGUGUGCAUUUUUGAUAACUGUGUACUUCUGGUGACUGUACAGUUUGAAAUACUAUUUUUUAUCAAGUUUUAUAAAAAUGCAGAAUUUUGUUUUACUUUUUUUUUUUUUUUUAAAGCUAUGUUGUUAGCACGCAGAACACUUCAUUGUUGUUUUUGGGGGAAGGGGCAUAUGUCACUAAUAGAAUGUCUCCAAAGCUGGAUUGAUGUGGGGAAAACACCUUUCCCUUCUAGUUUUGAGAGACUUCCUCUUGGCUCCCAGGAGGAGGGAGUCCCUACUUUGACACACAUGGCCACCUUGGCACAAAAGCCUUGUGGUAUGGAAAAACAAAUUUGUUUUUAUGUCCUCUUCUCGCUUUCCAUCUUUCAGCAUAGACUUAACUCCCUUAAGCCCAGACAUCUGUUGGGACCUGACCUCUAGUCAUUAGUUACCAGUGUGUCAGGCAAUCUGGACUUUCCAG